UGCCUCAGUAACGGCGAGUGAAGCGGCAAAAGCUCAGAUUUGAAAUCUGGCGUCUUUGGCGUCCGAGUUGUAAUCUGUAGAGGAUGCCUUUGGGUGGCCACCGGUCUAAGUCCCCUGGAACGGGGUGUCACAGAGGGUGAGAAUCCCGUAUGUGACCGGGAAGGCGCCCUAUACAUGGCUCCUUCGACGAGUCGAGUUGUUUGGGAAUGCAGCUCUAAAUGGGAGGUAAAUUCCUUCUAAAGCUAAAUACCGGCCAGAGACCGAUAGCGCACAAGUAGAGUGAUCGAAAGAUGAAAAGCACUUUGGAAAGAGAGUUAAAAAGCACGUGAAAUUGUUGAAAGGGAAGCGCUUGCAACCAGACUUGUUGGCGGUGUUCCGCCGGUCUUCUGACCGGUCUACUCACCGUCUGCAGGCCAGCAUCAUCUGGGGCCGCUGGAUAAAAGCGGAGGGAAUGUGGCUCCUCCGGGAGUGUUAUAGCCCUCUGUGUAAUACAGCGAGUCCCGGGUGAGGUCCGCGCUUCGGCUAGGAUGCUGGCGUAAUGGUCGUAAGCGGCCCGUCUUGAAACACGGACCAAGGAGUCUAACAUCUAUGCGAGUGUUCGGGUGUCAAACCCCUACGCGUAAUGAAAGUGAACGGAGGUGGGAACCUUUUAGGUGCACCAUCGACCGAUCCUGAUGUCUUCGGAUGGAUUUGAGUAAGAGCAUAGCUGUUGGGACCCGAAAGAUGGUGAACUAUGCCUGGAUAGGGUGAAGCCAGAGGAAACUCUGGUGGAGCUCGCAGCGGUUCUGACGUGCAAAUCGAUCGUCAAAUUUGGGUAU
rnacentral:rRNA from 1 species